GAUGAACGCUGGCGGCGUGCCUAAUACAUGCAAGUCGAGCGAACGGACGAGAAGCUUGCUUCUCUGAUGUUAGCGGCGGACGGGUGAGUAACACGUGGAUAACCUACCUAUAAGACUGGGAUAACUUCGGGAAACCGGAGCUAAUACCGGAUAAUAUUUUGAACCGCAUGGUUCAAAAGUGAAAGACGGUCUUGCUGUCACUUAUAGAUGGAUCCGCGCUGCAUUAGCUAGUUGGUAAGGUAACGGCUUACCAAGGCAACGAUGCAUAGCAGACCUGAGAGGGUGAUCGGCCACACUGGAACUGAGACACGGUCCAGACUCCUACGGGAGGCAGCAGUAGGGAAUCUUCCGCAAUGGGCGAAAGCCUGACGGGGCAACGCCGCGUGAGUGAUGAAGGUCUUCGGAUCGUGAAACUCUGUUGUUAGGGAAGAACAUAUGUGUAAGUAACUGUGCACAUCUUGACGGUACCUAAUCAGAAAGCCGCGGCUAACUACGUG
rnacentral:rRNA from 1 species